GUCCACGCCCUAAACGAUGUCUACUAGUUGUCGGGUCUUAAUUGACUUGGUAACGCAGCUAACGCGUGAAGUAGACCGCCUUGGGAGUACGGUCGCAAGAUUAAAACUCAAAGGAAUUGACGGGGACCCGCACAAGCGGUGGAUGAUGUGGAUUAAUUCGAUGCAACGCGAAAACCUUACCUACCCUUGACAUGGCUGUAACCUUUAAGAGAUUAGAGGGUGCUCGAAAGAGAACCAGUACACAGGUGCUGCAUGGCUGUCGU
rnacentral:rRNA from 1 species